rnacentral:tRNA from 2 species
GUCCUUGUAGUCUAAAGGAUAUGACGUCAGCCUCCGAAGUUGGAGAUCCAGGUUCAAUUCCUGGCAAGGGCA